UCAGAGCAUAGCUAAAUAAUGUAUAGCAUCUCCCUUACACUGAGAAGACAUCCGUGCAAACCGGAUUGCCCUGAA
rnacentral:tRNA from 1 species